UACACACUAUCUUCAUCUCCCAAGCAUUGUCAGUUUGGACACCUUCGCACAUGCGCACAGAGCAUUCAAUCUGACACCCUCACCAGGGCCAAAAAAACUUUCCAAUCACCAUCGCAGCCUUCCCCUGAUCUGCCCCUUUAAGAAAAAUCAGCCCUGGCGGCUCCUAGCCCUCCGCACACUGACCCUACACACUGGACAAUAUUUAAGGACCAAGGUGCCAUCCUAUAAAGAGGUGCGAGGCAGCGCGGCCGGGCAGCGCUCCCGAGGGACAGGCGGCCGCCUCGCUGGGGGAAGCCGAGAGACGCGCAGACAGCCGAGAAAAGGGGGGUGAGAAAAAAAAAAAAUACAUUAAAUAAUAAUAAUAAUAAAAUCAAGCGAUGCCGGCGAGACACGCAGGACCUGCCCGUCAUCCCCGGAAGCGAAGGUAGAGAGAGACCAGGCAGCCCCUCUUUGAAGAAAGGAGCGAAGUGUAAAUAGCCCGAUGAUUGAUGUGCUGUCUUUGACUGCGGAGAAAGCACUAUUUUAAUUCAAGUGGCCAGGUCAGAUGGUCACGGAAGAAGGUUGAAAGGUAGGAUUUAAUGAGAUUAAUAUGGAGAGAGGGAGCGAGAGAAAGCGCGCGCCUUCAUAAACAUUCAAUAAAAUAAUCGGGUUAGGGCGAGCGCUCGGAUCUGCGCUCGAGGUGCUAACCCAUACUGGGACCCGGCGAGCAGAAAAAUCAGGAGCCCUCUCACCGAAGGGCAUUGCAAAAACAAAGCCAAACUUCUGUGGGUGCGUCAGGUCUCUGCUGGAAGCCAUUCUGCCAGCUGCACUUUUGCCCUGCAGGUGGAACUGGGGAGGGGGGAAUAUUCUCGCUAAUUACCGGUUUUCCCCUCCUCAAUAAAGUCUUUAAUUGCAAAUGGGAGCAGGGCCCUUUCAGAUGCUACCUAGGAGCCGGCGUUAAAGGGAAAGGUGGUGGAGCAGGAGUCCAAAUAAAAUAAAUACGUUUGAAGGGAACUCGCAGCCACGUGUCCCCUAAAAUGUUGAAAUGGUGCCUGCGAAUUCCUUCCUCGAGAACGCGCUGCGCACAGGUAGCCGUUUCACGGCGUGGCGGGGACCCCGAGGUUGGAAAAACAAGCUCUCCUGAGCUCCUCGGGUGAAACAGGAGCCCUAAUGUUUCCAGCGCAUUGAAAUAUUUCUCCCAACGACCUUGGACGCUGGCUGCCUCCAACGAGCUGCUAAUGGGACAGGCACAUUUCAGUUCAAAAACCUCGUCCCGGUUUUUCCCUUCCCAUUAGCCCCGCGGUUUUGUCGCCGGAGCCGCCGGUCGCGCUCCGGACCCGAGCAAAAGCCGCGAAGCCGGCGAGGAGGAGAGGGAAGAAGAGGGAAGGGAAGGGCAGGAGAAAAAAGGGAAGGGCAGGAGGGGAAAGGACACCCGGGGCCGCUGGCAGCCCCCGGCCGGGCCGCGCUCAGGUGCGGGCUUUGCGCGUCCUUGCGCGGCGGGGGCCGAAGAGCCCGGAGCUUUGUGCGGGGAGAGGCGGGCACGGGGGUCGCCCGCAGUCCCCCCGGUUUGGUUUGGGGGCCAAAAAGUGCCGCGGCCCCUGCGCCAGGACCCCCCCGGCCAAGAGCUGGUGCGAGAAAUAAGCUCGCAUUUAGCGGGGCCGCUCGCAGAUAUUUGAAGAGACGCAAAAUGGAUUCGGGGGGGUGCGCGGUGUGUGUGCGCCGAGUGGGAGUUCCCCGGUUAGUUGGGGCUUCUGCAAACGAAGCCAACGAGAAGGGAUCGAAAAGUGGCCGGCCGAGCCGGCGGCAGCCCGGCCGAGCUGGGGCUGCCCUCGGCGCUCAGCUUUCAUUCUAUUUGCCGUUUCUCGCUCGCCCCGGCCGCAUUUCUCAGGGCCCGGCGUGAAUCGCUCGGUGUCAGGAGCGGGGCUCCCGCGGCGGCUGCACCGCUUGUGUCGGGCCGGGAGGCAGUUCGGUAAAAUUAAUUUUAAAAA